rnacentral:rRNA from 1 species
UACGGGGGUGGCAAGCGUUGUUCGGAAUUAUUGGGCGUAAAGAGCCUCGUAGGCGGUUUGUCGCGUCUGCCGUGAAAGUCCGGGGCUCAACUCCGGAUCUGCGGUGGGUACGGGCAGACUAGAGUGAUGUAGGGGAGACUGGAAUUCCUGGUGUAGCGGUGAAAUGCGCAGAUAUCAGGAGGAACACCGAUGGCGAAGGCAGGUCUCUGGGCAUUAACUGACGCUGAGGAGCGAAAGCAUGGGGAGCGAACAGG